UCAUGAUGAACGCAAAACUGAGUGACGACAGCUGGAAUUACCGGCAGAUUGUUCAGUGGUGAUACUCGGUUUUUCUGACG